GACGAACGCUGGCGGCGUGCUUAACACAUGCAAGUCGAACGGAAAGGCCCUGCUUUUGUGGGGUGCUCGAGUGGCGAACGGGUGAGUAACACGUGAGUAACCUGCCCUUGACUUUGGGAUAACUUCAGGAAACUGGGGCUAAUAACGGAUAGGAGCUCCUGCUGCAUGGUGGGGGUUGGAAAGUUUCGGCGGUAGGGGAUGAACUCGCGGCUUAUCAGCUUGUUGGUGGGGUAGUGGCUUACCAAGGCUUUGACGGGUAGCCGGCCUGAGAGGGUGACCGGCCACAUUGGGACUGAGAUACGGCCCGGACUCCUACGGGAGGCAGCAGUGGGGAAUAUUGCACGAUGGGCGGAAGCCUGAUGCAGCAACGCCGCGUGCGGGAUGACGGCCUUCGGGUUGUAGACCGCUUUCGCCUGUAACGAAGCGUGAGUGACGGUAAUGGGUAAAGAAGCACCGGCUAACUACGUG
rnacentral:rRNA from 1 species